rnacentral:lncRNA from 1 species
AUUCAACAGGCACAUAUUAAGCCUAGAAUGUGCUAGCCAAUGUGGUACUGGACUGACGUGGCUCAUGGAUCUCAUGGUGGGAACUACAUAGAGUGGACUUAUGAGAAAAGCCAGCUGGGGCUCCAGGAGCAUCACGGAGCAAAGAGAGCCUCAUCUUCACUAUAGGACCAGUGAAUAACUCUGGAUGGCAGAUAAAUCAUAGGGUGGAGAGAAAGGAGUAGAAGCCUUCAAUGAUGAUACCUGUUUCCGUCAAUGACAGUAAGGCCCGAAGAUCCAGACUGAUGAUAAGCCUAAAGCCGGUGGAGGACAAUCACUACUGGAUUCUACCACAGAAGGCUGCAA